rnacentral:tRNA from 1 species
ACCUGGGUGGCUCAGCUGGUUGAGUGUCUGACUUCAGCUCAGGUCAUGAUCUCACGGCUUGUGAGUUCGAGCCCCACAUUGGGUU